CUCUUGUCGUCCUCCUCUUCCUCCUCCUCUUCCUCCUUCCAGUAUUCCCAACUGUGUAUCUGUCUGUAUCUGUUUUCAUUUUCCCAUGGAAAUGCUUUGGAACUCUGUCUAUUUCUUUGUAAUAGAUCUGGAAUGUGUUCUAAUUGGGAAUAUUUCUGUGUGAGUGUUCUGUUUGAGUGUUCUGUUCGAGUGUUCUGUUCGAGUGAUCUGUUCGAGUGUUCUGUUUGAGUGUUCUGUUCGAGUGAUCUGUUCGAGUGUUCUGUUCGAGUGUUCUGUUCGAGUGAUCUGUUCGAGUGUUCUGUUCGAGUGUUCUGUUCGAGUGUUCUGUGUGAGUGUUCUGUUUGAGUGUUCUGUUCGAGUGUUCUGUGUGAGUGUUCUGUUCGAGUGUUCUGUUCGAGUGUUCUGUUUGAGUGUUCUGUUUGAGUGUUCUGUUCGAGUGUUCUGUUCGAGUGUUCUGUUCGAGUGUUCUGUGUGAGUGUAUUCGGGUGUGCAGUAUUUUUUGGACUGAGUUGCUCUCUCUCUAUCUCACUCUCUCUCUCCCUCUCUCUCCCUCUCUCUCUCUCUCUCUCUCUCUCUCUCUUUCUCUGUCUUUUUGUCUCUCUCCGAUUUGUGUGACAGUUGAGUUAGUAGGCUGGAACUAAUUGAACUGAAAGUUUUGCAAAGUCAACAAAACUUCCCCACACCCACCCAGUCACCAUUCAACAACAGCAAUCCCCACCCUUUAACUCCAAAUCAAAUCAAAUUGUAGUUGCCACAUUUGUCACAGGUAUAGACUAACAGUGAAAUGCUUACUUACUUACGGGUCCUUUCCAACAAUGCAGAGUUAAAUUACUUAAAAAUGUUGUUUUUUUUUUAAAUAACUUAAAAAUGUUCAGUAGUGACACAAGGAAUAAAUAGUAAUAAAUACACAGUGAAUAACAAUAACGAGUAAAAAUAACAUGGUUAUAUACAGGAAGUACAAGUACCAGUUAAUAAAAUGGCUAUAAACAGGAAGUACCAGGUAAUAACAUGGUUAUAUACAGGACGUACCAGAUAAUAACAUGACUAUAUACAGGAAGUACCAGGUAAUAACAUGGUUAUAUACAGGGAGUACCAGGUAAUAACAUGGUUAUAUACAGGAAGUACCAGAUAAUAACAUGGUUAUAUACAGGGAGUACCAGGUAAUAACAUGGCUAUAUACAGGAAGUACCAGGAAAUAACAUGGCUAUAUACAGGGAGUAUAAGUAGGGAUUUGAGGUAGCUAUGUACAUACAGGUAGGGGUAAAGUGACUAGGCAUCAGGAUAGAUAAUAGACUGUAGGCAGUAUACUGUAGGUAGGGGUAAAGGAUAGAUAAUAGACAGUAACAGCAGUAUACUGUAGGUAGGGGUAAAGGAUAGAUAAUAGACAGUAACAGCAGUAUACUGUAGGUAGGGGUAAAGGAUAGAUAAUAGACAGUAACAGCAGUAUACUGUAGGUAGGGGUAAAGGAUAGAUAAUAGACAGCAACAGCAGUAUACUGCAGGUAGGGUAAAGGAUAGAUAAUAGACAGUAACAGCAGUAUACUGCAGAUAGGGUAAAGGAUAGAUAAUAGACAGUAACAGCAGUAUACUGUUGUUACUGUCUUUUAUCAGUAUUAUCAGCAGUAUACUGAGUCCAGUCAGUGUGUUGGUAGAGUCCAGUCAGUGUGUGGGUAGAGUCCAGUCAGUGUGGGGGUAGAGUCCAGUCAGUGCGGGUAGAGUCCAGUCAGUGCGGGUAGAGUCCAGUCCGUGUGUGGGUAGAGUCCAGUCAGUGUGGGUAGAGUCCAGUCAGUGUGGGUAGAGUCCAGUCAGUGUGUGGGUAGAGUCCAGUCAGUGUGGGUAGAGUCCAGUCAGUGUGGGUAGAGUCCAGUCAGUGUGGGUAGAGUCCAGUCAGUGCGGGUAGAGUCCAGUCAGUGUGGGUAGAGUCCAGUCAGUGUGUGGGUAGAGUCCAGUCAGUGUGAGUAGAGUCCAGUCAGUGUGGGUAGAGUCCAGUCAGUGUGGGUAGAGUCCAGUCAGUGUGAGGGUAGAGUCCAGUCAGUGUGGGUAGAGUCCAGUCAGUGUGGGUAGAGUCCAGUCAGUGUGGGUAGAGUCCAGUCAGUGUGGGUAGAGUCCAGUCAGUGUGGGUAGAGUCCAGUCAGUGUGUAGGUAGAGUCCAGUCAGUGUGUGGGUAGAGUCCAGUCAGUGUGGGUAGAGUCCAGUCAGUGUGGGUAGAGUCCAGUCAGUGUGGGUAGAGUCCAGUGAGUGUGGGGGUAGAGUCCAGUCAGUGUGUGGGUAGAGUCCAGUCAGUGUGGGUAGAGUCCAGUCAGUGUGGGUAGAGUCCAGUCAGUGUGGGGGUAGAGUCCAGUCAGUGUGGGGGUAGAGUCCAGUCAGUGUGGGUAGAGUCCAGUCAGUGUGAGGGUAGAGUCCUGUCAGUGUGGGGGUAGAGUCCAGUCAGUGUGGGGGUAGAGUCCAGUCAGUGUGGGGGUAGAGUCCAGUCAGUGUGGGUAGAGUCCAGUCAGUGUGGGUAGAGUCCAGUCAGUGUGGGUAGAGUCCAGUCAGUGUGGGUACUACACAACACAACACACACUAAACAACACACAAUAUACACUACACAAUACACAACACACAACACACAACACACACUAUAGAAUAUACAACACACACUAUAGAAUAUACAACACACAAUACACACAUUGGUGGAGGUUUUCUGCCUGUAUUAGACUGUCUUCUAGGGCAGUCUGCGGUAGAGGGCUGUCUUCUAGGGCAGUCUGCGGUAGAGAGCUGUCUUCUAGGGCAGUCUGUGGUAGAGAGUUGUCUUCUAGGACAGUCUGUGGUAGAGAGUUGUCUUCUAGGGCAGUCUGCGAUAGAGAGCUGUCUUCUAGGGCAGUCUGCGGUAGAGAGUUGUCUUCUAGGGCAGUCUGCGAUAGAGAGCUGUCUUCUAGGGCAGUCUGUGAUAGAGAGCUGUCUUCUAG
rnacentral:lncRNA from 1 species